UGGGGAAUCUUGCACAAUGGGGGCAACCCUGAUGCAGCGACGCCGCGUGAGCGAUGAAGCCCUUCGGGGCGUAAAGCUCUUUCGACCGGAACGAUAAUGACGGUACCGGGAGAAGAAGCUGCGGCUAACUACGUGCCAGCAGCCGCGGUAAUACGUAGGCAGCAAGCGUUGUUUGGAGUUACUGGGCGUAAAGAGUGCGUAGGCGGUUUUCUAAGUUCGGUGUGAAAUCUCCCGGCUUAACUGGGAGGGUGCGCCGAAGACUGGGAAGCUGGAGUGUGGGAAAGGCAGGCGGAAUUCCUGGUGUAGCUGUGACAUGCGUAGAUAUCAGGAGGAACACCGGCGGUGUAGACGGCUUGCUAGACCAUAACUGACGCUGAGGCACGAAAGCGUGGGUAGCAAACA
rnacentral:rRNA from 1 species